ACGAUCUUAAGAUUCUUCACU
rnacentral:snRNA from 1 species